rnacentral:lncRNA from 10 species
GCUUUAGUGGUUAGCGGUGAUGCCUGGUCUCUGUGCUCCAGGUGGAGACUCCCAUAGUUCCUCUUGGUUGUCAGCUGGCAGUGCCCUCUUUGCUUUAGUGGUUAGCGAUGAUGCCUGGUCUCUGCGCUCCGGGGUCUUUCUGUCCUUGUUGAAUCAGGCACUGUUUCUUCAGUGUUCGCAGCACCUGCUGCCCAUGGGGAGUGAGCACUGGGGUACCUGUUGGGGAUGGCUAUCUCCUCACUGCUUUAUUUCCCAAAGUUUUAUAGUGGGAGCGUCUUCUGGGUGCCCAUGACACAUUACCCUGAAUGCCAGGUUUCCCACUGCCAUCCCAGUGAGGCCCAGACCUCGUGGGCUAAGAGAGACCUGCCGCCUGAGUCCUGGCAGACUCCUGGCCUAGGGCUUUGUGGGUGUCAUCCAAGGGUGGAUUUGGGAGAGGUUAGUCAAACACCAGUAAAUAAUGCCUUUAAGUGAAUGUGAUUUCCUCCGUCUUACACAUUUGGCAUUAGGAACAUGCCUCAGAAUAUGGUAGCUGCUGUAAAUAUGAUGUUUUCAAUGCAGAAGACAGAUCUGCAGGAGCCAGGCUGUCUGGGCAACCUUGCUGGCUCUCCCACUCAGUAGAGAUGUGACUAUGGGCCGGUUUGUGAAGUGGAGAUAAUAAUGGAACAUCCUCCUUGGGUUGCUGCGAAUAACUGAACAUUUUCCAAAUGGGAAUGCAGUAGUAUUAUUUGUAUAAUAAAGAAGAAUUGAGCAUUUAAUUCAAGAAGCAAGAAAUAGAAAACUAAAAAGGGAACAAAUGAGUAAAUAUGUGAGGAUACAUUUAUGAAUUUAAAAAACUCCCAAAGAUAUGAUUAAAUAAAUGAGUAAAACAACUAGAAAACUUCUAGAAAGUCUGGCAGAGAAAAGAAAAAGAACACAAGUAAUUAACAUCUGACAGGAGGGAGGGAAUGUGUUCCAAUACAGAGGAGAGGCAACACGAGAGAAUCGCCGGGAAGAAUCAGAGGGGGUUUGCGCUACCCAGCAUUGAAGGGUGUAUUAAAAAGCUACAGUAUGGAAGUGGUUAGGAAUAGGCAAAUAGGCCAACGGAAGAGAACGAGAAGCACAGAGCACACACACUUACGUGGGUUAUUUGUGUAUAAUGAAGUCAUCCCAAAUAAAUGGGGAAUGACAGAUUUUCACUAAGAAAAGUUAGUUCUCUACCUUAUAUAAUGCAUAAAAGAAAUAUUCCAGAUGGAAUACAAAUCCACAUGUAAAACUAAAACCAUUCAAAUAUCAAAAGAUAAUGAUUUGACAGGUAAAGAGCUUGGAAGUUAUCACUGCUGUCCCCACAACAAGAAAAAAGCUCAGCAAAUGGAAAAUCAACAACUCUUCUCAGAUCCAUCAGAGAAAUGAGGUCAUGGGGCAAACUGCUAUCCUGAAAACUGGAGAGACAGGUGAAUGCAGAGAAUCAGAACUUACCUGAGAAGCCAGGAACAGAAGCUGCUGCUGGAGCCAGUACUGUCAGGACACUCACAGGCCAACUGACAAAUGUAAUUAGCACAGAAAUGAGAAGCCAGGCAUGGUGUGCACCUGUAGUCCCAGCUACUUGCGGGGCAGGGGCAGAAGGAUCUCUUGAGCCCAGGAGUCUGAGGCUGCAGUUACUAUUUUCAAUUACUAAAGCAGUUUUUUAAAAGUAUAAUCCCCACUUCUGGAAAAUGAUGGUGUAAUUGGUAUACAUUGUUUUAGGGCAGCAUUAAACUGGUUUACAUUAGUACAUGAUGACACUGAAAUACAUAUUGAUACAUAUCCAUUGUCAUAAAAAUGUUCACACCUAUUAACUAAAGAAUCUCAGUUUAGAGUAUUUUGUCUAAAGAAGAUAAACAUGUUUUAAUGUUGCAAUCGCCUGACUGUAAUUUCAGGGUUUGGGGUUCUGGGAGCAUUGGGAUGGCUUGAAGCCAGGCUGAAGUUCACAUGGGG